rnacentral:rRNA from 1 species
GUGAGGAAUAUUGCGCAAUGGACGAAAGUCUGACGCAGCCAUGCCGCGUGCAGGAUGACGGCCCUAUGGGUUGUAAACUGCUUUUGUAUAGGAAGAAACUCGAAUACGUGUAUUUGAUUGACGGUACUAUAUGAAUAAGCAUCGGCUAACUCCGUGCCAGCAGCCGCGGUAAUACGGAGGAUGCAAGCGUUAUCCGGAUUUAUUGGGUUUAAAGGGUGCGUAGGCGGAAUAUUAAGUCAGUGGUGAAAUCCUGCAGCUUAACUGUAGCACUGCCAUUGAUACUGAGAUUCUUGAGUACGGUUGAGGUAGGCGGAAUGUGUAAUGUAGCGGUGAAAUGCUUAGAUAUUACACAGAACACCGAUUGCGUAGGCAGCUUACUAAGCCGCAACUGACGCUGAGGCACGAAAGCGUGGGGAUCGAACAGGAUUAGAUACCCCUGUAGUCC